AUGCUUCCGGCGACCCGGCGUUGCUCCAUUGCAACACCAGCGGUGCUCCCUGACAGCUUCGAGGCAACAUCACCGGAGUUGCAGCGCCUCCGGCGGCCACUCGCCGCAGUCACCAUCGCAACACCGCGCGGUGCUCCAUUGCAACUCAUGGAGACGCCAAUGGCGGGCGGUGGUCGGCGCAGAAGCUACACUCGAUUCGUGGUCUCCGGCGCGGCGGUGCUCAGUCGUAGCACCACCUGCCUCCGUCGCAGCUCCAUCACCUCUCUCUCCUCUCCAUGGCUUUGGGCGGCGGGGAUUGGAUCAUCCCUCAAACGCGACAGGAAGGAGGGAGAGGGGGGGGGGAAGCAAUUCUCCGGCGGUGGUGACGGCCGGCUCUGCUUCCUCCCGGCGGCGUCUGCAUCAGGGAGAGGCGAGAGGGGGAGAGACGAGGGAGAGAGAGAUGCGGGAGAAGAAGAUGACCCGUGUGUGGAUGACGAUAGGAGAGGAUAA
rnacentral:rRNA from 1 species